rnacentral:rRNA from 1 species
UACGUAGGGGGCGAGCGUUGUCCGGAAUGAUUGGGCGUAAAAGGGCGCGUAGGCGGCCUGUUAAGUCUGGAGUGAAGUCCUGCUUUCAAGGUGGGAAUUGCUUUGGAUACUGGCGGGCUGGAGUGCAGGAGAGGUUAGUGGAAUUCCCGGUGUAGCGGUGAAAUGCGUAGAGAUCGGGAGGAACACCAGUGGCGAAGGCGACUAACUGGACUGUAACUGACGCUGAGGCGCGAAAGUGUGGGGAGCAAACAGG